rnacentral:snRNA from 1 species
GUGCUCGCGUUGGCAGCACAUGUACUAAAAUUGGAACGAUACAGAGAAGAUUGGCAUGGCCCCUGAGCAAGGAUAACACGCAAAUUCGUGAAGCAUGUAUUAUAAUU